rnacentral:lncRNA from 1 species
GUUUUGUGAGGCCAAAAUUGUAAGGAGGUGAAUAUUUUAAGACACUGUAAGUGUAUAAUAGUAAAUUAUACCUACACCCGUACUCACAACCUCAAAAUCCUUUCCAUCCCUGCCCUUAGAAACCUAAUCGAUGCCCUGGAAACUAACUACACGCCUCCUCAUCUUCCCUGUUCAGUUAAACCCUUUAUGAAGCCAGUUAAAGCACCUACCAGUUUUCAUAAAUCAUCCCCAAUUGAGUGGUUUGAGAUUUGAGAUUUAGGUCAAUGGCUCUCCUUGGUAAAUACCCAAUGCUCCUUCAUCUUCAAUAAAACUCUACAAGAACAUAAGCCUGGAUCGUAAGAAGCAUUCUCAGGAUCACCACUUUUCCCAUUCAAGAACAGAAGGGGGGUGAAGAACAUCAUCGCAUAGUUCGUAAUUCUGGUUACGUUUAAGCAGCCGGAAUCGGCGAAAAAAGCGUGUGAAGAUCCGACGCCAGUGAUUAACGGCCAUCGUGCGAAUUGUAACCUAGCAUCGCUCGGUGCUCGCCGUCAGAGAACGUUAACCGUUGUUCACCGCCACCGCACCACCAAUCCUUUUAGUCCAACAUAAGAUCAUUUGGGAAGAAUGAUGAUGGAAGAGAAAAUCGGUCAGAUGGUUCAGAUUCAAAUGCUUGCAGCUACUCCUGAUAUCAUGAGGAAACUUACUAAUUGGUGGAGGGAGUGUUGAUUGGAUUAAUAUGC